UGGGGAAUAUUGCACAAUGCGGCGCAAGCCUGAUGCAGCCAUGCCGCGUGUGAUUAGAAGAAGGCCUUCGGGUUGUAAAGCUCUUUCAGUCGUGAGGAAGGAACCGUCGUUAAUACCAGCAGCCCGUGACGGUACCGACAGAAGAAGCACCGGCUAACUCCGUGC
rnacentral:rRNA from 1 species